AAAACAAGAUUUUCAAUUUUUAUGAAUAUUUCGGUUCUUAAUUGGAAAACAAGAUGACGCUGCUGUGCUACUGUUUAGUUGGUGACUGUGGGGGUUGUGAAACCUGUGUUCGAAAGUUUUUGUGAAGUAUGUCAUAUUCCAAGGGAAAAUUCAAGCAAAUCUAAUGGUGGUUCUGUGUGUUUUCGUCCUAGAGUGCGUUUUGCAAGUGAAGCCCACAAAAUGCUUGGUUCUUAUGUUACAUGUCUUGUAAUCACCAUGUCAGCUGUCAAAACAAAAAACUAUUCACAACCCAUUAUGUUGCAUUCAUCAAACUAUUCUGGUGCUCAUUGAGAGGUUAAGCUCAUGAAACUUCAUUUGUAAAGGAUACUUCCCGUUGAGGAAUGUCACCAAAAAUGCAAAUCCUAUGGCGCCAACUGUAACCACAGCCAUUUCGACAAUUGUAAUCUCUACUUAGCCUACCAACAGACAUAGACAUGUACCUCAAUACAAUUUCUAUUGGACUGCCAUCUCUUUGCUGUCUGCUGCCUAUCUGCUGGCCCUACAGUAUUUCUAGCCAUUGGACAACAGAAAACAAAGCCUUUUUCCUCUUCUCCGCGCCCGUCUUCACCUCGCCUGUCAACCCCUCUUCGCUUCGCCUGUCGUCCCGUCUUCGCCUCGCCCGUCGUCCCGUCUACGCCUCGCCGGUCAUCCCGUUUUCGCCUCGCCCGUCGUCCCGUCUUCGCCUCGCCCGUCGUCCCGUCUACGCCUCGCCGGUCAUCCCUUCUUCGCCUCGCCCGCCCUCUCGUCUUUGCUUCGUGGUAGCCGCGUCUUCGCCUCGUCGUUUUGGUAUUGUGUGUGUUUUGCAAUGUUUAUUCUUAACUAACCCGUUGGCUGCCACCCACCUUUUAUCCCCUUUUUUUUUGUAGCUUGACAGGGACGGGCCGCGCUGUUCUGCUCCAUGGCUAUCUGCCAUGGAGUGGAGCAGCGCCACUGCCCAAGAUUGGCCGAAUGGCCCCAAAGGCAAUGCACCAUAGGGACUUUCCCUUGAUCGAUGCGAUAGAUGAGACCUGGGGUGUGCAUUCCCGUAAAGGUCUCAUCAUCGUAUCAGCCCGGCCUACCCAGCCCCCUUGGUCGCUAUCCCUAUGAUAGCGACGUAGCGACCGUAGUUAAGAUGGCGUGGCAGCCAACGGGUUAGUUUUAAGUGUAUAUAUGUAUGUAUUGUAUGUUGUAUU